rnacentral:rRNA from 1 species
AUUCCAGCUCCAAUAGUGUACAUUAAAGUUGUUGCAGUUAUAAAGCCUGUAGCUGGAUUUCUGGUGUCGCUGUGCUUCCGCGUGUUUAAUUACAUGUCAAGUUGUGUUUGCGUCGCCAUCUUUUAGCAGCACCCUCCUGGCAUUAGGUUGUUGGGUUGGUAAUGCAAAUCGUUUACUGUGAAGAAAUUAGAGUGUUCAAAGCAGGCUUAUGCCGUUGAAUACGUUAGCAUGGAAUAAUAAGAUAGGACUUUGAGUCUAUUUUGUUGGUUUGCGAGUCAAAGUAAUGAUUAAUAGGGACAGUUGGGGGUAUUCGUAUUUCAUUGUCAGAGGUGAAAUUCUUGGAUUUCUGAAAGACGAACUACUGCGAAAGCAUUUACCAAGGAUGUUUUCAUCG